rnacentral:rRNA from 1 species
UACGAAGGGGGCUAGCGUUGCUCGGAAUCACUGGGCGUAAAGCGCACGUAGGCGGCUUUUUAAGUCAGGGGUGAAAUCCUGGAGCUCAACUCCAGAACUGCCUUUGAUACUGAGAAGCUCGAGUCCGGGAGAGGUGAGUGGAACUGCGAGUGUAGAGGUGAAAUUCGUAGAUAUUCGGCGGAACACCAGUGGCGAAGGCGACUCACUGGCCCGAUACUGACGCUGAGGCGCGAAAGCGUGGGGAGCAAACAGG